rnacentral:misc_RNA from 1 species
UAUUCCAUAAACCGACUUGAUCUGCACUGACUAAAUCCGUUGGCAGGGAUUUCCUGUGUCCAGGUGAAACACCCACCCCUUGUUGCGUUACCGGACAUGUAAAAGUGGAUUUUUGGGGUGUCCUUUACGAUCGUUAUUAAAAAGCGCAAACAUGUCUAUGGACUUUCGGAAAAAUACGUAUAGGCCAAAUCGACCUGAUUCCAGAUUUAGGACGAGCUAUGCCUUGAUGUCACAAUGGAUGAUGCAGUUAGGAAACCGAUCAAAGGCUCCUGUGGAGGGCUACGUCUCACAGCCCAAUUUUCCAACCAAACACAACGGAUACGACGACUUCCACAAAUCUUACCAGCAAGUCAGCCAGCAGUUCCCAAACAAACACUUCCCAGUAUUUGGUCCACCAAAGCUUCGACACGGGCGGGCGGGAGGAAGCUGGCGUCACGUGAAGGAAGUCCUACAGGCUGGCGGGCGACGCAUUGUAUUUGUCGAUGGUCAAAUUGCAUAUGAAGAUAGUAUAAAGAUUGAUGAUGUGCCCAGAGGUCAUUUGAUUAAGCCUGACGCUCGCCAAGAUCGGCCAUUGAGUAGAAGCCAGUCAUUCUCACAAAACCGAGACCGCAGACCUGACGCUUUCCCUGCAAUAGAACAACCCGUCAACAUGGACUAAGGGCAACAAUUUACGGACUUGAGAGGAAGAAAGGGAUGGAGCAGGGAAACUGGGCAGUGAUGCGAUAAUCCAAAUAUAUGAAACAUGAAAAUCCACUAAUCUCAUCCACAGCUUUAAUUCAGUUUCUUUAUAUACUCUGUGCUACCUGUAUCAGUAUUACCAUAAAAGUAUUACCCCGUGUUGGACUUGCGAAAAAUAUAUUGUUCAUUUGUUUAUAAAUUAAAUGGAAUAAAGAAUAAAACU